GGUUAAGCGAAUAAGCGUACACGGUGGAUGCCUAGGCAAUCAGAGGCGAUGAAGGACGUGCUAAUCUGCGAAAAGCGUCGGUAAGGUGAUAUGAACCGUUAUACCCGACGAUAUCCGAAUGGGGAAACCCAGUAUCCAAUGGAUACUAUCAUUAACUGAAUCCAUAGGUUAAUGAGGCGAACCGGGAGAACUGAAACAUCUCAGUACCCCGAGGAAAAGAAAUCAACCGAGAUUCCCCUAGUAGCGGCGAGCGAACGGGGAGCAGCCCAGAGUCUUAAUCAAUAACAGUGUCAGGAGAACGGUCUGGAAAGUCCGGCAGUAAAGGGUGAUAGCCCCGUAUCUGAAGAUGCUGUUAUUGUGAACUCGACGAGUAGGGCGGGACACGUGUUAUCCUGUCUGAAUAUGGGGGGACCAUCCUCCAAGGCUAAAUACUCCUGAUUGACCGAUAGUGAACCAGUACCGUGAGGGAAAGGCGAAAAGAACCCCGGCGAGGGGAGUGAAAAAGAACCUGAAACCGUGUACGUACAAGCAGUAGGAGCCUCUUUAUGGGGUGACUGCGUACCUUUUGUAUAAUGGGUCAGCGACUUAUAUUCUGUAGCAAGGUUAACCGUAUAGGGGAGCCGUAGGGAAACCGAGUCUUAACUGGGCGAAUGAGUUGCAGGGUAUAGACCCGAAACCCGGUGAUCUAUCCAUGGGCAGGUUGAAGGUUGGGUAACACUAACUGGAGGACCGAACCGACUAAUGUUGAAAAAUUAGCGGAUGACUUGUGGAUGGGGGUGAAAGGCCAAUCAAACCGGGAGAUAGCUGGUUCUCCCCGAAAGCUAUUUAGGUAGCGCCUCGUGAAUUCAUCUUCGGGGGUAGAGCACUGUUUCGACUAGGGGGUCAUCCCGACUUACCAACUCGAUGCAAACUGCGAAUACCGAAGAAUGUUAUCACGGGAGACACACGGCGGGUGCUAACGUCCGUCGUGAAGAGGGAAACAACCCAGACCGCCAGCUAAGGUCCCAAAGUCAUGGUUAAGUGGGAAACGAAGUGGGAAGGCUCAGACAGCCAGGAUGUUGGCUUAGAAGCAGCCAUCAUUUAAAGAAAGCGUAAUAGCUCACUGGUCGAGUCGGCCCGCGCGGAAGAUGUAACGGGGCUAAACCAUGCACCGAAGCUGCGGCAGCGACACAAAGUGUUGUUGGGUAGGGGAGCGUUCUGUAAGCCUGCGAAGGUGUACUGUGAGGUAUGCUGGAGGUAUCAGAAGUGCGAAUGCUGACAUAAGUAACGAUAAUGCGGGUGAAAAACCCGCACGCCGGAAGACCAAGGGUUCCUGUCCAACGUUAAUCGGGGCAGGGUGAGUCGACCCCUAAGGCGAGGCUGAAAAGCGUAGUCGAUGGGAAACGGGUUAAUAUUCCCGUACUGGUGGUAACUGCGAUGGGGGAACGGAGAAGGCUAGGUUGUCCGGGCGACGGUCGUCCCGGUUCAAGCAGGUAGGCAGAGUGAUUAGGCAAAUCCGGUCACUUAAUGCUGAGAUGUGAUGACGAACCACCAAGGUGGUGAAGCAAUUGAUGCCCCGCUUCCAGGAAAAGCCUCUAAGCUUCAGGUUACCAACAAUCGUACCCCAAACCGACACAGGUGGUCAGGUAGAGAAUACUCAGGCGCUUGAGAGAACUCGGGUGAAGGAACUAGGCAAAAUGGUGCCGUAACUUCGGGAGAAGGCACGCUGGCGGUAGGUAAAGUCCCUUGCGGACGGCGCUGAAGCCAGUCGAAGAUACCAGCUGGCUGCAACUGUUUAUUAAAAACACAGCACUGUGCAAACACGAAAGUGGACGUAUACGGUGUGACGCCUGCCCGGUGCUGGAAGGUUAAUUGAUGGGGUCAGCCGUAAGGCGAAGCUCCUGAUCGAAGCCCCAGUAAACGGCGGCCGUAACUAUAACGGUCCUAAGGUAGCGAAAUUCCUUGUCGGGUAAGUUCCGACCUGCACGAAUGGCGUAAUGAUGGCCAGGCUGUCUCCACCCGAGACUCAGUGAAAUUGAACUCGCUGUGAAGAUGCAGUGUACCCGCGGCAAGACGGAAAGACCCCGUGAACCUUUACUAUAGCUUGACACUGAACAUUGAGCCUUGAUGUGUAGGAUAGGUGGGAGGCUUUGAAGUGUGGACGCCAGUCUGCAUGGAGCCAACCUUGAAAUACCACCCUUUAACGUUUGAUGUUCUAACCUAGGCCCAUAAACUGGGUCGGGGACCGUGUCUGGUGGGUAGUUUGACUGGGGCGGUCUCCUCCUAAAGAGUAACGGAGGAGCACGAAGGUUGGCUAAGCAUGGUCGGACAUCAUGCGGUUAGUGCAAAGGCAUAAGCCAGCUUGACUGCGAGAGUGACGGCUCGAGCAGGUACGAAAGUAGGUCUUAGUGAUCCGGUGGUUCUGAAUGGAAGGGCCAUCGCUCAACGGAUAAAAGGUACUCCGGGGAUAACAGGCUGAUACCGCCCAAGAGUUCAUAUCGACGGCGGUGUUUGGCACCUCGAUGUCGGCUCAUCACAUCCUGGGGCUGAAGUAGGUCCCAAGGGUAUGGCUGUUCGCCAUUUAAAGUGGUACGCGAGCUGGGUUUAGAACGUCGUGAGACAGUUCGGUCCCUAUCUGCCGUGGGCGUUGGAAGAUUGAGAGGGGUUGCUCCUAGUACGAGAGGACCGGAGUGAACGCACCACUGGUGUUCGGGUUGUCAUGCCAAUGGCAUUGCCCGGUAGCUAAGUGCGGAAGAGAUAACCGCUGAAAGCAUCUAAGCGGGAAACUUGCCUCGAGAUGAGUCUUCCCUGUCGCUUUAAGCGACCUAAAGGAACGUUUAAGACUAAGACGUUGAUAGGCUGGGUGUGUAAGCGUAGCGAUACGUUGAGCUAACCAGUACUAAUGAACCGUGAGGCUUAACCUG
rnacentral:rRNA from 1 species